GGCAAGUCAGCUCCUCAUGCUCCAUGUCCAUCCCUGUACUUAAUAAUACAAAUAAUCCUGUAAUCGAAUUGCUCCAUGGUCGGGUCGGGAUAGAGUUUCGAGCAAAGUAACCCCUAGCUUCAGGAAUGAACUGAAAACAUAGUUCAAGGUGUGAUUCAUGAGGUGUUGGUUGUGCCAGAAGAGCUGUCAUCAAGAAUAAUAUCAGCAGGAUCUCCUAUCCAUGGUCUCCCUUCUCUCCACUGAAACUUUAUCCUUAGUUUUCCAUUUGCAUCAACCCCAACCACCUGCCCUUUACUGGCGUGAGUCUCCAUUCCCCAACCCCAUCUUGGGGUCACAAGCCCUUCCCGUAUCUUCACGCUGUCCCCAAUUUUAAAUGGCCUAACUCGUUCCAUCUCCGAGGCCUUACAAAGCCAUAGCCUUUCCAUAAAGCAGAAUGCCACCCAUAAGUCUCCAUUUUCCAUUCGAUGCACUACCCCAAUGCUUGAAUGAGUUACCUCUCCCCAGUGGUGAGUCGGGAUUGAAACCGAUGGUCUAACCCUAACCCAGUCCCCAAUGCAAAGUUCCUGUUCCUUCACCAGCUCCACUUCUGAUGGAUCUAGCAUCCAAGUUUUGGAGCCAACAGGGGUGUAUAUUCUCAGCUUUCCAUCAGCAUCAAUAGCAGCUAUUGUUCCAAUGCUUCUAUGGCUAUGACCCGACCAACCAAAUCUCGGCUGCUUCACCGAGAGCUUAACUCUCACCUUGUGCCCCAUGAUAAGUGUUUCCACUCUUUGAAGAUGGGAAGUUGGGCCCGUCCAUCUUUCCUGCUCACCACAAAAUGCAACAAAUGUGUUUCUAUCCCAUUCAUCUCCUUCAUACCCUAUUCCUUGUACCACACCAAUACUACCAGGUACGAUAGAUUUCCAAUUACUAGCAUUUUCCCUCAAUUGCACCCACUCUCCCACUUCAAACAUAUGCUCUAUUUCAAGAUCUGCAGGAUCUCCUCUCCACAUGCCCGGCAAACCAAAGAACGCAACUCUCACUUCCCCAUCAGCAUGAACACUAGUAACAAUGCCCCGCGAAUCAGACUGAACCCCUCUCCAACCCCACCUUGGCUCAAUUAAUCCAGCUCGAAAUCGAACAUGUUGCCCGACUUUAUAAUUUGGAACAUUUUCUACAUCUGAGAAAUGGGUAAUCCACCUCCCUUUCCGGAAGCAGCAAGCCAAUUCCAAAUACCCGGCAUCCUGAACACUAUGCACUACUGCUAAGCUCUCUUUCCCAAUAGUGUUCCAGUCAUAACUUGGUCUAGCGCCAAGGCUCGGCUUUGAACGGACCCAAUCGCCAACUUCAAGUCCCGAAAGCCUUUCUGCAUCUCCAGGAGAAACUUUCCACAAACUAUGCCUGCCGUCAACCUUCACCUGCAUGGCUCAAACAAAACCUCUCCAUUAAAGUAAUUUAAUGGAUGAACUCACAAAAUAAUAUAAUCAACAUAUAGCUUUAACUGAUGCAUCCCCAACAGUGAUGCGAUAAUGUCGUAAUAAAAGAUAUAGUGCUCCACCAGUAACAUUAGACCAGGCCACUCGCUCCUAGAUUAAAAAGAAAGAAAUGGGAUGCUUACAUUCAAAGCUCCAUCCAUGUCAAUUUUCGAAAUUUUUCCAACGGUUGCUGGAGUUUCAUUUGACCAUCCUAGUCGUGGCUGACUGACAGAUGGCAUGACAUGAACCUGUUGUCCCACUUCAAAAGGAGGCACUCUCUCCACAUCAGUGACAGAGCAACAAAAAGGCUUGCUACGGAAGCAGAAAGCAAUACCAAUAUCACCGUCAUCUUCUAAACUAUGAAUUAUACCAAUGCUGUUGCGGGAAAUAUCCUCCCAUCCAUAUAAUGGGGAGGGAACCGAAGCUUUUACUCUAACCCAAUCACCAACCUGCUCUUGAUAGAAAUAUACACAAUAAGAUGCAUUAAAUUCUACUCUGACACCCAAAAAUUCCCCUUCAAUUGAUAGUCCAAAGACUACAUUGAGAAAGGGAACUUGUCAAAAAAAGAAGGGACAGGUAAUUACCUUGAAAUCCUCAACUCUUUCCAUGUCAGAGGGAUCAGCCUGCCAUGGGAUUGGUCGAUUUGGUAUUUCAAUCAUAAGAAGCCCAUCAGUCUCUAUCUCGGUAAUCCUUCCAACACUAUGAUGGGUCUCACCACCCCAAGCAUAUCGUGGCUCUGCAACAGAUCUCUUCACACAAACCCGCUCCCCAAUCUAUAAAAUGAAACAAUAGAUUACUUUUUGUUUGUAUGAAGAACAUGUUCCAAAUAAAGAGAACAGCAAUGUAGGUAAAAGAAAGUUCGUAGUUUAUUAUAUACCCUGAAUGGAGUUACGGGCUCAACCUCCUCUGGUUCACAAUGCCAACGAUUCGGAAGAUAGCUCAAGUCCAGCAAUAGACUACUAUCCGGUCUAAUACAGUAUACUAUACCAAUGCUCCCAGGUGUCACAGAUCCUAAUCCAUGCUUUGCCGUAGUAAGAGUAGGACGAAUUCGAACCCAAUCCCCAACCUUGAAUUCUUCAACUCUUUCCAUUUCUGCAGGAUCAGCUUUCCAUCCUCUAGAAGCUCCAGGAAAGCCAACACGCAAAAUCCCAUCAUCAUCAACACAUAAGACGGUUCCAAUACAGUCACGUGAUUGACCACGCCAGCCAAACCUGAAGAUACAAUAAAUCUAUUUAAUUCAAACUGGAAGAAAAAGGACGAACUAGUGGUCAAUGAUAAAGCCAAUCAAUUCAGUUGAAGGAUAGCAAACAUGCAAAUGGCAGAAGCACCACUUUGGUAGUAGAUCAAGUAUUUUCCACUGGGAUCCGAUGUAUAGAAUCAGAAAUCAAUUGCAGGAUCAAGAUUAUGCUGAAGGAUUUCAUUAUUGUUUAUUGUUUGCCUUCCAAGAAACAAAUACACAUGGAGCAACAUAAGAGACUGACACUGUACCUAUGAAAAGAGAUACAGGUAAAAGAUCAAAACAUUAUGCUUCCAUUUAUAAUGUUUUACCCAGGGAAUCUCCACUUAUAAAAAUUUAUACUAUUUUUUAGUUAUAAAAUGAUUAAGAAGAUCGGAAAAUAUUGUCAUCCCAUUCAAUCUCGAAACAAACAAUUUUGAUAUGAUUUUGACUAUAGUUUUCAAACACCAUGGCAAUAGCAUACAUCUUCAGAGUAAACAACAUAUCUUUUUUACUGUUUUGCAAAUUCCCCUUCCCUCUAUAGCCCAGUCCUAGGAUAUUAAAAGACCAAAAGAACAUCAAACAAGAAUUUUGACUAGAGUCUUCGAACACCAAGGCAAAAGCAUGCACCUUCAGAGUAAACAACAUCUUUUUUGUGUGUGUUGCAAAUUUCCCAUCCCAGGUGAUAAACAGAAAAGCAUAGGAGGCAAGUUCCUCCAUAUCCCAGUCCUAGGAUAUUCAAAGAUCAAAGAACAUAACAAGUGUACAAACCUUGGCUCUUUGACAUCUUCUCUAAGCUUAACGUGCUGCACUCUAUCAAGAGGAAUCACUUUUACAACUUCAUUUACCAAUACAUGAGCCUCUCCAGAACAAAAUGACACGAUAAGAUUGUCUCUGUCCACCACAUUUUGCACAAAGCCAACACUUUUAUGGGUUGCAUCUUGCCACCCAUAAGUAGGUGUAGUGACACUUCUUCGAAACUUCACCCAAUCACCCACUUCAUAUCUGAAUAAGACCAUGAACUCAAGAAUCAUAAUAAAAAGGAUAUAAAGAUAAAUAAAUAAAGUGAAUGAAUGCACAAUGAUGUGAACCCUCUCCUUACAUUGUAGGAGACAGUUGAACUCCCCUAUUUGUUAGUGCUUCCAUCAGAUCUUCAGAAAUCCAUUCACGAGGAAGUGCCUCCAAGAAGUCUCGUAAUGUCUUACCACUGUCAUCAGUAUUGACACUAUGUUAGUAAUAUAUGGAUCCAACAUGGAGAUUCUACAAUGUAAAAUGUACUGCCAAAAAACAAAUCAAGCCAAAGAAAAAGACGAAUAUGUUAACAAACGGCAAAUUUUCAUAGGAAUUCCAGAACUGACCCAUGAUUUCUAACUUCAACAGCAGCAUCAGGAUUCCCGAGCAUAACAAUGAGCCAUUCAAGGCUCUCACGUAUCAUUUUUGCAGUAUCUGCUGCUAUAUGGAAAGCAUUAUCACCUUCAUCACCCUGGUGACAAGCAAAGAUACUAUAAAUGAAUUGAAUGCAAGAAGAAAAAUACCAUGCAACAUUGCUCCAAUUCUUAAUUUGUUCUAACAUAAUCUUGUUGGACAUAUCUUGGAAACUUAUGCCUUCAGUGUGUGUCACAUAUCUCCUUAUAUCUCUAUCUUAAAUAACAGUAAAUUUGCUUUUUUAAUCCUUUUUUUUUAACACAAACCACCAUAUUGGAAAAGCAACCAGAAUAGAUUGGCCACUUGGUAGAUUUAUUAAGUCAACCAUAUGCAUAAUCUUAUUCUAUAUUUUAAAGAAAUUAGUGCAUAAUCGGAUUCGUUGCUCCAACCCUUACUUUUCCUAAUGCAUGCCAGUUGGAGACAUAUCAAGCACUUGCAAUGAACCAAUAUACAGCUAAGACCUCCUAAAUAUAAGAAGUAGAGAUAUCUACAUCAAGCAUGUAAACAUAUCUGAUGAUCACUGAGAAACAAUAUGAAGUAGAUAUAGAUCUGGGCUAACUCCUUGUGUCAGUACGAACUAAUAGAACAGUUUGACUCAAACACCUUUUACCCUUGUCAAACCAAAACCACAGACUUUCUUGCUUUCUAAAACCACCUGCGUAAUGAUAUUCAUAAUCUAGACCAUAGACAUUGAACAAGUUUUUCAAAGAUAUAUAGCCAAUUACACAUUUACUACUUAACAGCCUAGUUUCAAGUUUAUCACAAGUGUAGAAUCAAUUCAAGCUCUAAUUCAACUAUGAUUCUAUGAACCUUAAACCACCCUCUAUAACCAUAACCUGGACCAUAGAUAUUGAACUAGUUUUCCAACCGUACACAACCAAUUAUUGCAAGUUUUCCCUUAAAUUGAAUCAAUCCAUGUCCUUGUUCAGCUACGAUUCUAUGAGCCUUAAACCACCCUCAAUAACCAUAACACCUAAACCUCAAAUUUCCACCACAAACUGUGAAACAUACUUUCCAAAAUAUCUCAUCUUUGAACACGCCUUCAUUCUCCUCAAACAUAAUCAGAAUAUAGAAAUUGCCCAAAGAAGACCUUGCAACAAAAUCACAGAAAAUAAGCACAUUGCUCUUUAUCCAGUUUCAGUAUCAUAUUCCAUGCACCUAUCCAGUAUAACUGAAUUUUACUUAGCAUGUCUAACAGGAGAUUUGGCAAUCAAUUUAGCCCCAUUCCACAUCUAAUAUUUCAAUUUUUUCACAUAUGGCUUUUUUGUGUGUGUACAUUCUUGGUCAUGAAUCAAAGAACUAUGUUUAUUUAAACCCUAAUCCCCCAGUUCUUUGCUUUCAUAUAGGCUUUGCCUUGCUCUUGAAUUAAGAAUGUUACUUUUUACAAUUUAGAUUUAACAAUUUUCAGAACAACAUAAAAUCAGGGAGAAAAACAACUAUCAGAAAUAAAGCACAAACCCCCAAUACAAUUUAAGGCUAGAACACAAAUAUAGAAAAUAUCUGUAAUUAAUUACUGAUAUGCUUCUUAGAAAAAGGUCCAUAAUACUAGGGAAAUCAUAUGCAAGCAUUCCAUAGCAAAUAUUUUUAGGUAAAAGAGGAAGAAACCUGCAAAUUACAAUCCGCCCCGGAAGAUAAAAGCAGCCCAAUACAUGACGAUGCCCCUCGGGCCAAAGCUACAUGUAGGGGAGUUGUAUUGUGCACAUUUCUAAUGUUCACAUCCACUCCAGCAUCAAGAAUUAUCUGUCCACAAGCUUGCAAUUAGAUCGUGUAUAAACCCAAAGGCUGGCUAAAAUAUAUGUGCCGGCAUUUGCAUUCAUGCAUGAAAAGCAAUAAAAUUACCAGGAAGAAAAAAUAGAAUAAGUGCUUCUAACAGUAAGGAAGUUAUGUAGCUUACUUUUACCAAUUCAACAUCAUUAGCCAUAGCAGCAAUAUGCAGCGCUGUUCUCCCAUGUUGAGCAUCUUGGGCAGUGGGAUCUGCCCCAGCAGCAAGCAAUAUUCUCACCAGCUCCCUGCCCUCUACAAGCAGUUUUAUGAAUGAAUUGAAUUAUUGCUACUCAAUUAACAAAAAAAAGUUCAUGUGAUUAACAAAAUGGACACAACAUUGCCAAUAAAAAAUUAUUUAAAUUAAGCUAUGAUAACAAGCCUUGAAAGGCAAUAACAAAAGUGAUCGAAAGUUCUAGUAUGUUCUACCUGAAACAAAGAUCAAGGUUUAAGGAAUUAAAAUACAGAAAAUCAUCUAAGACCACAAAAAUAGAAUAAGGAAGCAAUAACCAUUCGUAACUGGUAUCCCAAAAUACUGUAGUAGAAAGAAGAAUAAAACAAGAAAGAAAAGGAAGAAUAUCCCAUAAUAAGUUCUCUGGCAUCCAUGCACGAAGAUACUACUUAUUAAUCAAAGUCCUAGAGAAAAUAAGAUUGAAAAGGCAUUUAUGAAGUAUCUUAUAUUAUGCAGUAACCAACUAGGAAUGGCAAAAAAAAGCAAACAGGCAGCCAAAUGACAAAAGCAUAAACUCCUAGAAAAUUUUGAUCAAAAAAGAAAACCUAAAAAACCCUAGUGUCAAGUAUAGCCAACAUAGUAAAGUUCAUGCAGACAUUACAAUUGUAUGCCUAAAAAACAAAAAUCUCAUAAUUCCAAAUAAAGAAUAAAAUCCUAUAUCAGAAUCUUCAGUGACAAUAUGAAAUGCCACAUUACAACCUUUUAAGGAAGUAAAUAUUAUACCUAAACCUGUUAAGCAAUUAUAGCAACACAGAUUAAUUAAAUUAUCUUUCACUAAAGGAAUUGUGAGCCGAAGAAGAUAAUCAAAGGAUAACAGACCAUUUACUUAAAGAAGAUGAUCAAAGAGUUCUGCACUACCUAUUUCAUGAUUUUUCUUUAGAGUAGCUGCCAUGCACAAAGCAGUCCCAACAAGACUGGGGAUUUCAAUUGCAUCUGCAAUUUCCUCUGGGGAAGCAACUUCCACCCACCUUUUGACAACAGCCACAUUCCAUGUUGCCACACACAAAUGCAAUGGUCUGAUAACAAUGAAUCAAGAUAUGAAGCCUUGAGUGGAGUAAUAGAAUGAAUGCAAUAUAUUAAUGAAAAAGGGUUAACAUGCAUGACAGCAAACAGAUUAGAAAGGUAGAAAUGAGUUAGUCUAUUUCAUAUAUUCCAAGCUUCUACUUGAAGCAAAUUUACACUUGCUAUCCAAAAAAAGUGGGGGAGAAAAGAGAAAGAGAGUUAACAUAGUGUUAAGUUGAGAUAACCACUGAUCCAAUAGAUGAAACCAUUCCUAAGGCCCUUUUUCCUUUGGAUAAAUAAAUCAGAUUGUGCACUAAUCCCAGUCUUUUCAACCCUGUAUCCUAAACCAAACCCCAAACUGGUACGUAUAUUAAUAAUGUCAACGAAAAACAUGUUUAGUAAUAAAUGCAUCUCCCAAUAGAUGACUAGAUUCAUUCACAAGCACCAGAAGAACAGCAAUAGAACACAACCCCAACGUAAUGGAGGCAUCUGUUUCUGACAUAAUAUAGAAGCUGCUGGCCAAUCAUCCAUCGUUACAUGAUAGACUAUCAAAACUAUCAUCUUACCUUUACAGUGUUGACAACUCGACAGGAAACAUAUGAUAAGUGUAAUGGAUUUAUGCCAAACCAAAACAAGAGCUAUUAAAGAAGUCAGCAACAAAGUAUACAUUAGAUCAAAUAGAAUCUGGUUAUUUUAACCUAAAGGUAAUCAGCAGGCUAUUUUCAUGAAGCUGAACUACUGAGUCAGUUUAUGGAAUUCCAGACUAAUUCAACAGAAGCUACAACCUACAGUGCUCCAUUGACCACAUACAUCUAUCAAAGGAAAAAUAAGAUACGAAUCUGUAGUUCAGUUUUGUACUACUCAUAUGGAUGUAUGUGUGUGUGUAUAUAUAGACAAAGCGAAAAGUACUAAGCAGAUGUGUGUAGAGCGGUACAGUACUUACGUCAAAUUUUUGGAAUUCAAAACAGCCAUUGAUCUGCAGCCCCCAUAUUCCAAUAUGACAAUAGCGCAGUCUGUAUAUUUCUUGGCCACAGCUCUAUGAAGCACAGAUUCACCUUCAUCAUCCACCGCAUUAGGGUCAGCUCCAGCCAAUAGCAACUCCUGUUAGACAUUUAGCAAAAGAAAAAAACUCAAACACUGAAGAAGCAAGAAAGAGCAACCAUAUAUAUAAUUAACAUAAGACCUACGCGCAUGCAGUCAGGUUGACCAUGAUAAGCACAAACAUGGGCAACAGACGGACCAAAACCAUCCCUCAACCUGGACUGAACAUCAGCACCUCUCCUAAUGAGAGCAAGGACACAUUCUGGGGAUCCAGCUGCUAAAGCAAAAACAAGAGGAGGAUCCCCAUCCUUAUCCAACACAUCCACAUUUGCCUCAGCGUACUCCAAUAUUGCUUCAACUAGUUCAGCACUACCUCGUCUACAGGCCAAGUGGAGAGCAGUUUGCCCAUCAGCAUUCUGUGCUUCUAAAAUGGAAGAAAAUGAACUACCACUAUUUCCAGAAGAAGCCUUUCCAAGAAAAUCUCUUCACAAAACAAAGAAUAACAGCAAAUUACAAAUAAGAGAGAACAUUCUUCAAAAAGAGAGCUAAGAACAUGUCUUAAAUAAACUAUACUAACCUCAAACCACUCACACCCCCCUCAGAAACAAGUUGAUGCAGAUAGUUAGGAUCGUCAGGUAAAACCUCCAAACCAGACAUGGGUGGUGGCUCCACAGCAUUUGAUCCAGGUAAUUUGACAAAGCCACUGCACAUUCACCAACAUUUUUACUGAAUGCAAUGAAUUAAAUUUUACUGUAUUCUGUCACUCCUAACAUGGACAUACCCACAAAUGCAUAACCACCACUUAAAGCAUCAGCAAUUUUUAAGAUCGGCAUUAGCUAUUAUCUAGGUAUCACAAACAACAACAGAGGAAGUUAGGCAUGGUAACAACCAAACUUUGUUCUUACUUAUCAGGACUUGCAGGAGGGCUGCGUGGUAUCUCUUGCAAAUGACGAAGGAAUAUUGCUAACAUUGCAUUAAAUGUUGGUCUUUUUGAUGGUUUGAACUGCAGGCACUCUCCGAUCAUCUUCCACAAUUCCCUAGGUAAUCCAACACCGACUACACUUGCAUAUUGAGGAGGCAAUUUCCGAGCCUUAACAACAGCUCGAUAGAUCUCAUCUGCGCUUAAACCAGCCCAACUGCACAAAAAGUAUCAGGUUGUGUUACAAUGAAAAUAUACCACUAAUCAUAAUGCAGAAAGGAAGAAACAAAGAAAAAGAGAACAUUAAAAAAAUGGUUGCUCCACAUACGGGAUGGAACCAGUGCACAUUUCCACCAAUGUACAACCAAAACUCCAAGCAUCUGAUUCUGCAGAUAUGCCUAUUGCAUCAUCCCAGAAAAGAUUCAGUGACUUCUUUACUGGUUCCCAUGCCUCCGGGGCAGCAUAAUGUGGGCUGAGCAUAGUGCAAUCCAUGCAUGAAUGAAUCUUGGAGGAAUCACAUUCUGUUUGAGCUUUUUGGCAAGCAGGUUUCUUCAGAAUUGCAGCAAGUCCGUAAUCAGAAACAACAGCAUGACCACUUGCAUUCAAAAGAAGGUUAGAUGGCUUUAUAUUCAUACAGACAACACCUGCUGCAUGAAGUUCUGCCACCCCUCGUGCAAUAUCUGCUGCGUAUCUACGAUUGGCAAACAUUCACCAAGUCGUCAAAGAGAAAAUUACAGCCACAUAGUAAUAGGUAAUUAUCUAAGAUAUGAAAUAAGCUAAAGACAUUAGAUUUGAUAGAACAGAAAAUUUUUAUGUGAUUUUCAAUUCGGCAACGAAUAAACUUUAGAUAGUAAAUAGCAAAAGAAAUUUUAAAUCAAGAACAGGGAAAAUCAUAUUUAUGCAGAAACAGAAACAUAACACUAAUACCAAAACUCAAAUUUAAUGCAUAAAAACAUUAAAAGAGGUGAGGAAAGAAAAUGAUAAAGUGACAUGUAUGUAUCUUUCCAUGCAUAAUAAUGUUGUAUUAACACUUUCUAGGGUCAAUUAAAAUGUUUUCUCCAUUUUCCAAAUCAUCUGACAGACUUCAACAUAUCAAAUCAAUGAUUCCCCUUACUGUCUUCACUCAAUUGCAUUCUUAUUGAAAUUAAAAUCAACUUUUAGUAAUCUCUUUAUGUCAACUAACAAUACUAAUUCUACCAAAAAAGAGAAAAAUCUAUCCCUUCAGGCAAUAAUAAUAAUAAUAAUAAUACAUAUAUUGGUUGCUUCGGAAAUUUCAAUCAAAUGAAAAACUGUUGCAUUAUUUGCUUGUCUUGGCAGUUCAUAGGAGUCAUCAUUCUAACCAAUUACAACAGGGAACCAAGUUAGAAUUCUAGAAAUAAUUAGAGAAGGACAGUUUCAUUCAAGCCCAUACUCUAAUGGCAAUGGAAUUCACAAUGUAAGCAAUUGCAAUAGAAGGAAACGAGAGGGAGGUAAGAAAAAGAGAGCAGGAUCAGAAAAGUGAGGCAGUCCCUUGAUAAAAAAUACAGAAAAGCUCAAUAUUGUUCAUUCAAGAACUGUUCAUUAAAUCCUCAAAUUUAUUUUAAGAAACAACAGAAACAACUAGUCAACACUCGGAUAAAAGUCGUUAUUGGAUUAAAACUGGAAAGAACCAUUUUGCAAGAAAAUUAAAGUUGAAGAAAUCUCUAUACUUACCGUCCGUACCUACCAUGCAGAGGUUGAGCCUUACCAAUAGCAUUGAUGCUCAAAUCAAUCAUCUAUAUUAAUAUCGGUAACAAAGUAAGCUUAACAUAAAAUAGAAAACUGCCAAACAUAUCUACAUCUAUUUGUAAGGGCUAGCAAUAAGAAUAAAUCCCCAGUGAUAUUUUGCAAUUGAAGAUGAUCUAGUUCCUUUUUUGUUUAGAAGUCCAUUAAUCAAGGGUAGAAAUAGCUUUCUUCUUUUUUAAAGCAAAAAAUGGCUCUAUUCCUAUAAUAUGACAAACAUACCUUCAGUAAUGCUCCUAUAAUAAUUUCAGAGAAGAAAUUUUGGGUAUUUAUAGAAUAAAGGAAAGUAUGUACCAGUUUCAUUUUAUGGAUCAUGGAAUUUGUCAAAUUUAAUACAUCAAGCCUGCAAAAAAUUUUCCUCACCCUGUCUAUUCUCCCAAUUGUAAGAAAAGUUAAAGCAUGAAUCAUCUUGCUUCCACAAUACCCUGGCCAAUAUCACCAAUCAAAACCAAACAGCCCUAAGUUUUUCCCCUAAAUAUAUAACAUCCUCAAACACACCCCUUAUUGCACACUAACAAAAGGAAACAAUCUUUCUUUUUCUUUUUCUUCUUCUUCUUUUUUUUUUUUUUUUUUUGGGGGGGGGGGAGCGGAUGCACCAAAACUUAGACCCCAUCUAACACUCAUAAUCAGACUGGAAACAAUUUGCAGCAAAAUCCAAAUGAUAUUAAUCCAUCCAACUUACAUGGCAAUAAUGAUGACUGGCUCAUAGGCAUUACUGACUGAUCAUCAGAAGCAAUUUGAAAUAAUAUUAUACCAUAAAGAUUACCCUAAAUCAAGAUUUAUGUAUCUCUCAGCUACAAGGCUUUUACAGAUGAGGAUUAGCAUAUUCAUACCAAAUAUGUCAGUCAACAAGCACACUGGCUACAGAUUUUCAUCAAGAGUUAAAAUUAAAAUGUUUUCCUUCAGGGAAUUCACAGAAUCUACAUUAGAAAUGAAGGAAAAAGAGAGGUUAAAUAUUUGAGAUAUCAAAGGUUACCAGACAACCUAUCUUAGCCUCCAUGGGAACAGAUUGAUUACCCUACAGUCAUUCCCUUAAAGUGUAAAGACAUCAAACUUUUAUUCAGUGUACAUAAAUCUCCAAUUCAAGAAAGAAUAUAUUAACUACCCUUGGAAUUGCAAUAUCAUAAUCUACUUAUAUAAGGCAACAAGAAUUUACUACAUCUAGUAAGUUAGCAAUUUCAACUAAGCAACGCAACUCAACAUACUGAAACAACUUGCCACACAUCACUAACAGAAAGAAAAUGUGCAUAAAACAUCAAGAUUUCCUACAAUCAGUCCAAAUCUACAGAAAGCAACAUUCUAAAUAAGAUAAAUUAAAACCACCGGACAACAGCUCAAAGCUUAAGUCAUUCAGCCUCAACGAUAAAUUGUCUCGGCACAAAGCAUACCCUUCCCUGGCCUACAAGCAAACCUACCAAUCUUAUGUAACAAAUUAUGUACAAAAGCAUAUACAAAAGCCAACAAAAUCAACAACAUCAACGUGCAAUGAAGUAAUGAACACCAAUUAAAUUAUCCUUAAAACAUAAACAAAGGGCCCAAAAAACAACCUUAGAACUUGCUCCAAGGUAAGUCUCCCUCCAUUGUUCAACAUUGCCGAUCUAAUCGACCCGUGGCACCUAUCCAUAACGAUCCCCAAACUACUUUGUUCUAACUUAACAACUCCAUGGAAAGUACAAACAUUCCUACACCACAUUGAUGCACGCCUCAAACUCUCAAGUUGACCUUGCACCCAUUCCCAAUCCAUCCCUUCCAUUGCCCCCACUUUCUUCACCGCCACCUUAUGCUUACACCGUCGUCCUCCUCCCCUGCCGUGGGUCCCACUAACCACUGCAGCCCACGUUUCCACUCCAGCUCUUCCCCCCUUCUCUUCCCCUUCUAACUUCCUAACCAACUUCACUUCCGGAUGAGCUGUUAGUUCAAUCACAGGCCCACAUCCGGCGGCACCAGCACCGGAGAUCGAAGCGUGGGAACUGCGGUUAAUCCGACCCCCACCCGCCAAUUCUUCGAAAAAAUCCCCAUUUUCAUCAUCAUCCUCCCUCUCUUCAUCGUCGUCUUCUUCUUCAUCAGUGUAAUCGCAGUUAAAAUCGUUCCUCGAGUUCGACCCAACUGAGUUGGGGUUCGAAUUAAGAAGGGCUAAAAUCCCAUAGUUCUUCUUCAAAGCCUGAACCGAGUUUCCGACAAGGGACACGUGGCGGCAACGGGGACAAGACAAGGAAGUGUCGGGUGAAGCAGAGAACAUUUUGGAAAGACACUCUUUGCAAAACCCAUGCCCACACUGAAGCAAUAAAGGAACUCUGUCUUCCUCGUUGUACCGCGUUUGGCAAACCGAACAACAAGGCACCUUCAUCUCUUCCCUUUUCUUUCUUUUUCCUUUCUUUACUUCCCCAGAAAGUAAGAAAAUUUUCCCAGGAACCAAACAGCAGAUUUAGUGAAACCAAUCAAAAAAGAUCUAUUUUUUGAGAAGAAAUGAAGGAGUCAGGAGAGGAAAUGAAAUGGCAGAUCCAUUGAAAGGUAAACGAAAGGUUAAAAGAGAUCAGAUACUUGACAUUUUGAUUAAUUAAAAGAAGAAGAAGAAUAAAAGAUAGAAUAAUUUUUUUGCUCCAUUUUUUUGUUCUUCUUUUACUUUGUUUAGGUUUGAGUUUGGGUGGUGAGAGUGUUGAAGCUGUUUUCACUUGGGUGUUUUCCAUUAGUUCUUUUUAUGUGCUAUGAUUAUGACUCUCUUCCCCCUCAUUCACCAACUCUUUUCUUUAUUCAGAUAAUUUCUAUUUUCCUACUCUAUUUUUGUAUAUUUAUAAUUCUAUUUCUUUUCUUUUAGAAUUUAGAAGUACAAUUAUUCUAACAUCUCAAUUAUGUAUGCCAACGUCGUUGAAAUGUAACAUGGGAGUGGUCGGAUCGUGAAUUGAUCGGUACAUUGAUAAAGCAGUAUAAAUUGAUUAAAUAAAAUUUUAUAAAAUUUAAUAAUUUAUUUAAUUAAAAUCAAACUGAUAAUUGAAUUAAAAAUCGAUUAUCUAAACGAUUCAAUAGUUGAUCUAGUUCUAAAAAUAUUAGAUGAGACACCAACUUGAUAAUCAGGAUACAUGACCUCAACCUUUGUUAAUAAUGUCAAUGUCUCAUAGACAACAUAUUAUAUUGCUUUUUAUGUGUUAAUAAUUUAUAUUAAAUUAUGAUAUACACAUUGAUGAAAAAUUUAUGUAAUAAAUAUAUUUACAAAAUUGAUAACAAAUGAGAGUUUAGUUGAAACGGUAAAAUUGAGUAAUUAAAUGACAUGAUGUUUUAAAUUCAAAUCCAAACAUAUGUAUGUUUUUUUUCUAGAUUUCAUAUAAAAAGAUAAAAAGGGGGCUAAAAAGGCAUAUAAACUCUUAAACUUUGGUAAAAAAUCAAUUAAGUCCCUCUAUGAAAAAUGUACUUAAUUAAAUCCUUAAACUCUCAAAUUGCAUCAAUUGAGCCAUUUGACCAACGUUUUCCAUCUUUCACCGUUACAGUACUGACAUAACCGUUAUGGACUCCACACGACAACGAAAAUAAAAAAAAAAUCAUUUUUUAAAGUAAAUAAUAUAUUUAAAAGUCUUACUCGAAUGAACUUAGACAAUUUGUUGUCCAGGUUCAUUCAUUUCAAACUUAUUUUUUUAACUGUAUAAAAAAUUAUUUUUGAAAAUUUUAAUUUUUUUAAUUUAUAAUUUUGUAAAAAAUUAUUAAAAUUUAUAAAUAAAUUAAAUAAAAUUCAAAAAGUUAAAAAAAAUAAAUAAUAAUAUGUUAAUCCUCAUCUUGGCGUGUCAAAGCUCAUCCCAUAGUUCUUAUUUAUAGGAAAAUGGUACACUAGUCUUACUUGAACAAGGGUUAUUAAAUAAUAAUAUUUUAAUAAAAAUACAAUAUUUCACUACACACGAAACACUAAGGGGCAGCGGCAUGCCCUAUUGUGUACUAGGGUUUAUCGCCCUUCUCACACCGCCUUAUUUAUUAGGUACAAUUAUAUGUUUGAUGUAACCUCCCAACUCGUCCUAGAUGUUAAACUUGAAUUCAGAAGUUUACAUUGGCCACCGAAAUGACCCGAUAAGCUAGCGGAGUUUGUAAAACAAUCGUUUUAAAACAUUAGUUUAUCUUUAGAGGAAACUUAAUCUAUUUUCAGAAAAACUUAACGUUUUACCUCCCUUCUUACGAAAUAAUACAGUUAAUCUAAAAUCAGUUUAUUUAUAAAUUAUCUACUCGUUUAAAAACUUAUUUUUUAACAAUGCAGCGAGAAAAUGAUAAUACCGUAGUUUUAAUGAAAACCAUGUUUCAUGCAUUAUGAGAUAAAAUAAAAACUCAUGUAUUAGUAGCCUAAAAAUACCAUGCAUGUCCUAAAUAAUCCCGAAACUAAGUCCUAUGCCACAGUUUAGAUAAGAAGUUAUAAUUCUCAAAUAAUAGGAACUAAAAAUAAUAAUAGGUAAAAAAAUAUUUAUAUAUCUUUAAUUCGAACCGAACCCUCUGAUUUGUCGAUUCUACUUCCUAAUCUGGUGGGCUAUUUGUAAAGAUGUAAAUUAAAGGGGAGUGAGCUAUGCAGCUCAGUGUGCCCAGAACUAAAUAGUAGGCAAAGCACAUGGGUUAACAAUUCUGAGAAUAAUCACAAUUAUAAAGCACUUCAGAUUAAUAGUUUUUCAUAUCAUCACUUCACUACGCUAUCUCAGAAAUCACAGCUUUUAUAUGCGCAUGCUAAUGAAUGGCAAUGCAAUUUCAAUUUAUCAGAAAGGGUCUUACUCAAUUCCGCUACCUACCUCACUUAUGAGUUCCCUAGAACUCAUCUACCAUAUCACUCUAGGUUGUGGAUGAACCACCGCUAAUUUGAAGAUAAAUUGCCACUUAUUGUGGAUACACAACGUAAUUGCAGAUAAAAACUACUAUUGGGUUUGUAAAAAUUGUGGGCAAACCACUAGUAUUUUUAGAUAAAAAUAUUUGAAGACAAUAUGCCACUUGGUUCGAGAUCGAACCACAUAUUUGCAGUUGCUACCACUUGUUGUAGGUGUAUAACAUAUUUGUUGAUUAAACAAACUACCACUUGGUUUGUAGACAAACCACUACUUGUUUGCACAUUAUUAAACUGUCACUAUUGCUCCAUACAAAUCAUCUUGCACCAUGCAAUGCAAUAUGGUAUACUUUAUGACAUAAAAAUGCAAAAAUCCGUAGGUAUGCUUAACACUUAUUACGUUCAACACUAGCAAUAGACAUGUUCAUCAUGUAUUCAAUGGGAUAAAAAUAUUAACACUCGCAAUUUAUCAAUAACGCUCUGAUAGUGAGCAUGAUUAAUAUCACAUGUUUAUUCAUAGCACCGUAAAGAUUCAGUUAAUCAAUAUCAAUAAACGCAUUAUAACAAUAGUAAUUCAAGCAUAUAAAUUGUAGAUUUCCGUAUAAACACUAAUUCAAUGGUCAAUUAAGUGCACAAAAACUUUAGGAAUAAUUCAGGGAUCAAGUAAGGACUAAACUGAACAUAACAUAAAGUUCUGGGUAAAACUGUAAAAUAGGGGUCAUACAGUUGUGUGAGGUACUAUAGGUCGUGUGGAAGGGUUACAUGGUUGUGUCGCCAAGCUAUGUAACAGAAUGUGGCCGUGUGGCAAUUGUAAAAUUUACCUAUAGGAGAGAUACGACCAUGUGAAGGGUUUUUCGCUGUAUGGUUCACGAACUACAUUAAGGUUUCUAGGGUACAUGGCGUGUGGACCACACGACCCAUGUGACCCUAUUCCUAGACACAGCUUGCCCUGAUUCACUUGUAAAAGAACACACACAUUUCACCAAGGGUUCGAUAGACAUUCCUUAAGCUCGAUUUUGGUCCAAUUCACCUAGAUUCAGUCCUUCAAUGGAAAAUACACUCAAAUUAACAAUGUAGUUAAGAUUUGUCAAGAUUUUCAAAAGUUCGGCAAGAAACCAUAAAAAAUUGAUUAAUCGGGUGAAUGAAUAGUAUUAAAUUGCAAUAAUCCAAAAAUACGGGAUCCAAUUAUUGAUACGAAGGCACAUACCGAUUCUUUGGCAAGGUUAACGGAUGCUAUGGAUGGUAAUCUCCAAAAUUCAAUAGAAAAUAAAUUAGUGGAAAAAGAAAAACAAUUCAAUGUUGGGGAAAGAUAAUCAAUAGCUCAAUGUGCAAAGAAAAUUUGAUGUAAAUGAGAGGAAAAGAAAAGGUGAAAAAAAAGAAAUAAAAGAUGAAGAGAAAUUCUAAUAGAAUUAUGAAAAAUAAUCAAAGUGAAAAUAAAAUAGGAAAAUAAAAGGGCUAAUUACCUGAGGCAGAGUCUAAAGCUUAACCAUUGGGCUACUACCCAUUUCUUGUUUAAUUUUUAUUCAAAAUAAUAUUUGUUUUAGUGUGGAUUUUAUCCUAGGUUGUUGAAAAUUUAAAAAAAAAAUUGGAAUGAAGGAAGCUUAAACGUAGGACCUCUAAUAGGGGAAUAGCACUUAACCAUCAAGCCUACGGCUUAUUUCAUAUUUAUUUCUUACAUCUAAUCCUAUAUAUUUUUGCGUGUUACGUGUUAUCUGGACUUUUAAUCAACACUUACAAUUUAUCCAACUCAAUAACUAUUUUUUAACAAAAUAUUAAUUAAUUAAUUAAUCUAUCAAAUUAAAUUAUUUUCUCAACCCAAUUCUAAUUUCAUAAAUUCGUGACAACUUUACCGUAUUAGAAUCUAAGAAGAAAUACAUUUAAUUAUCUCAUUCAAUAAAACUAUGAUGACUAAUUAAUUUAAUUCUCACUUUGAACUUCAAUUAUUCAAUUUCAAUCAAUUAAAUAAUUCGAAAAAAUUAAUUUAAUUUCUACAUCAUCUUUUGUACUUAGCGAGAAAACGCAUUCACUGCGGAGAGUGAUACAUGCCAUCUAUUUUUCUUAAUCGUUGUUUUCAUUCAUUCUAUAUUUAUCAAUUCUACAUGCAAUCUGUUUUGAGUUAUGUCGAGCUAGCAAAGGGUCUGAUUGGACAUACAUAAUUAGGGCUCAAAUAAUUUGUAAUAAAGUUCUGACUCUUCGUCUAUUAAUUACAGCAUUAUUUACUUAUGGAGUUGUUACACUAAAGUAUCAUGAUUGAACUCUCCCUUAUUACAUAUCAAGUGUUUGUCCAAUGACCUUGUUAUAAUUAUGUUACCAUCACAAGAUAUCCUUAAUCUCUUUGGGUUAAAUUCGUUCACAAAAUAUAAUCCUAUUUUAUAUCAUGACAACCAUUAUAGUUUCCUUCAUGAAAAAUUCAAUUACUAGCAAACAUUAAUUAAAUCAUUUAUCCUAGGCAAAUAACAUGUGGUCACGAUACUUUUGCAUCUAUCAUGUAAUGUCAAUGAGAGAAUAUCAUUUACCCUAUUAUUGAGCUAUGAAUUCUAUUAUUGUAAAUGAAGUUAUGUCAUACAGAAGUCAUAUACCCAACGUACUAGCUUUCAACUAUUUAGUUAUUUGAACUCAGGCUUUUAGUACAUCAAAGUAUACGAGUCACACACAUAUAAUCAGUAACUUACUCAGGAUUGGGGUACGUCACACUAUGAACGUCGCAAGUGAAUUAAUUCAUAAAUAGAUCUAGGAUUAAUUAAACUUGUAACAGCCCGUUUUUAGUAAAAUCAGAAUAGUGGUUUUGGAACAAUAAAUACGAUGUUGAAAAUUUUAUUUUAAUAUUAUUUUAUGAUCUACAGCAUUUUUUAAGUGCAAAAGUGCAAAAGUUUGCAUGUUCAAUUUGAUAAAAAGGACUAAAUCGCGUAAAGUGCAAAAGUUGUGCAUUAAGAGCUAAAGGUAUUAAAUAGCUAUAGAACUUUAAAGUGGAGGUCCUUAUAUGGUAAAUAGACCAUUAAAUGAGUUAUUGGAUGUGCAUGGCUUGGUAAUUAUGAAAUUUUUAAAGUUAGGUAAGGGUAAUUUGGUAAUUAGGUAAUUAAUGAUAAAAAUAAAUAAAACAAAACAAAGUCUUCAUCUUUGUUUUCUUCACCAACUGAAAUUUUCAGCAAGGAAUAGCCAUGGAAGCUUGAAACCUAAGCAAAUAUUUUGCAUGUAAGUGAAAACCUAUCUCGUUUUUAAUGAUUUUUAGGUUUUAAAAGUCAUUGUAGCUUAACCUAGCUAACUAGGGGACUAAUUUGCAAAAUGGUUGAAAGUAUAGGGUUUUACCAUGAGAGCAUUUUAGUUGUUUGUGAAGUUUAAUGGAAGAAAAUGAAUCUUUGUUGUGAGUUAAACAACUUUUGUUAAGUGAUUUUUGAUGAAAUUGUCAAUUAGGGGUUAAAUUGAGAAAUGUGUUGAAUUGUGUGGUAAAUAUGUGAAAUUGUGAAAAUUAUGGGCUGCUAUAAGCAUGUAUAGAAUUUAGCUAGGCUUAGGUGUGGAUGAAAUUGCAUGAAUUUCAUUUUACGAGCCUAGGGAUUAAAUUGUAAAGAAGUCAAAAUUAUAGGGGCAGAAUGGUAAUUUUUUCAAAAUAUGAUUUUGGAUUAAAAUGAAUAUAAUGAGGUUUGAAUUAGUUGAAUUUGAUUAUAUAGAUCAAGAAAAGUAGUGUACGAAUUUAGACCAGGGAAAAGACAAAGUGUUGGACUAAUCGGUCGUUUUUCUCUGUACGAGUUUGAGGUAAGUUCGUAUGUUUAAUAAGCAUUAAAUUAUAUUUGAUUUAAAUGCUUUAUUAUUAUAUUCUUGAUGAUACGAAUCCACGAAAAUAUCGACGAGUUUUCGGUGACUUAUGGAUCUCGGUUGAACCUUAGGAAUAGAUAGGAUACAAAUGACAUGUCAUUAGGGAUUACCGUGUUUUAGGUGCUGGUCUCAUACGUCCUACUAGUGGCUGAGUUUCCAGCAUGUGUUGCAGUUACUUUACAGCUUGUGUGAACAGCACUAUGUGGCUACAUCUUGACUGACAGCUUGUGUGAGCAGACCCAGUUAUGGCUCAAGAGAGAGCAUUGAAAUGAGAUAUGAGAUCGUAGUGGUUUUGACCACGUAUUGGCACAUAGUGUGCGAGAUACCCACGUAUCUGAUAUUAUUCCAAGUGGUUCAACAGGCACAGUGUUGUUACGAGGAUUAUACGAGUUCAAUAUGAACUAGUACAUGUAUUUAUGUGAAAUAUGGAAAGUGGUAUAUAUUUGACAUAUGAAUUCAUGGCUAACAUGGUUAAUGAUUAUGUGUUAGGCUUUUGGGCCAAAUUGAGUUGUAUUAUGCUUAAAUUUUAGUUACCUAAAUUGCAGUUGAUUGGUAAGUUGUAUUUUUAGUUAUACGAACUUACUAAGCUUAAUUGCUUACUCUAUUUUAUUUUUUGUGUUUUAUAGUGGUUCGGAAGCUUGUUCGGAUUGGAAGUUGUCGGAGAUUGCAUCACACUAUCAAUCGCUUAUUUUGGUACUUUUGGUUAUAUAUUUUGGUUUUAAUGGCAUGUAUAGGUAAUUUUGGCUAAUGGUAGCCUAUAUGUUUUGUCAUGUUUUUAGCAAUUUGAUUUGGCUUGUAUUUGGUAUAUUUUGUUAUGUAUAUAUGUGUAAAUGGCCUUAUCAUAUUGGUGUAUGUUUAUCAUGUGAGUGUGUGCUAGUUGUGAAUUGGUAUUUUGGGUAUCAAUUAGUUGAUCUUAAUAAGUGGCAUGUACGUUAAGUUUUGGUAAAAUGAUGCAUAUAUGUGUUUGACCAUUUAGGUAGGUUUUGGAAACAUUUUUGGCAUGUAUUUAAAUGGCCAAUUGAGGUGCCUAUAGGCAUCAUGAUUGUAUGUGAGGUUAUUGCAUGUUUUAGGCUUGAUUUUGGUUGGUUUGAAUGCCUAUUUAUGUCUUGGUCAUAUGCAAAUUAUUGGUUUAAGUGAGAAAUAUGGUUUGGUAAAUGACCUAUUUUUGUCCACAUGAUCGGAGACACGGACAUGUAUCUCAGUCGUGUGUGACACACGGUCAGGUGACACGACCGUGUGUCCCUAGUAACUUUUAAAGAACACAAGUCAGUAGCCUUACACGGCCUAACACACGGGUGUGUGGCUUGGCCGUGUGACCCAAGUCAGUAAGUUACACGGGUACGGACACGGGCUGGGACACGGGCGUGUGUCCCUAUUUCAAAUGCCCACACGGCCUGAGACACGGGCGUGUGCCUCCUGUACCUUUGAGAAAUUUCAAUGUUUUUCGAAAAACUCUUUAAGUACCCGGUUUAGUCUCGGCUUAUUUUUAAUGUUUAUUUUGGGCCUCGAGGGCUCGUAUUAGGGAUGAUAUGAUUGAGUUUGAUUAGUUUCUAAUAUGAAUGCGAUAUGAAAUGAAAUAUUUGUUUGUUUGAUCUGUAAGUCCAGUAAUGUUCUGUAACCCUGUUUCGACGAUCAGAUACGGGUUAGGAGUGUUACAAAACUUAGGUCCUAUCCAAUGUAUUGUCAAUCCACACAAUCACAUCUAUGUCUCUAUAUUAUGGGAGUGAACCACUCUGAUACCCAAGACAAGGUAUAUCCUCAUUUGUACUUGAUAGACAACAUAAUUGUCCUUUAACUCAAAUAGAAAACCAUAAUGUGACUUAUCUAAAUUGAAGUGGAUGACUAUGUGUGCUAGCAAACACUGACUUGUGGUACAAGUUGUGCUCAAAUGGCAAACCAUAACUCAUAUGUGCAUCAAUUUUAUUGUUGGCAAUUUUUCCUUUGUAUUUAUCCUUAUCCUUCUAUUAUAAGCAACAAAACUUGGGAUAUUUAUCUACUUGAUGCAACACUUUUAAAAAACUCUAGGAUAGAAAAGUUUUAUUUCAAAUAUGACCCUUAACGAGUCCCUAUCUUGAUAAUAAGCUUUGAAAGAAUCUUAGUUUGAGACUUGAAAUUGAAGAAAGAACUUAGAAAUAAUAUAAAGACUUGAAAAAAAUAUAUUAAAAAAGGCUUGGAGAUAAACUUCAUGAUAAAAUUUUUAAAAUUAAAUGGACUUUAUCCCACUUUACAUAAUAGUUAUUUUGAGUGGUAGGAUUUGUGCUCUUAGUAUAGUGGUUUCGUCAUGACUACUUUUAUUUUUUUUCUAAUUGGUUGAAUAAAUAAAAAAUUCACAUGUUUGUUUAAUUGAUAUUUUUAUGUUUGUUUGUAAUGAUUUUUUCAUGGAAAGUAAAAUGUAUAAGCAAAUACAAGAACCUUGACUACUUUAGGUUUAACUAAUAUUAAGUUGCAUUACAUGUUUAGAUUAUAAUGCGAGAAGACAGCUUAUAUUAAUAGGCAAUCUAAAUUGUUCAUAGCAUUUAGAAUUAGAUUAAGUAUAUGAUUCAAAUAAUAGGGGAUUAUUAUGUCAUUUAUAAAUCCAAUUGAUGAGAUAGGUUGUCUUAACUAUUAGAGCAUAAUUGAUUUUCGGAAAUGUGUACAUAUGUGAUUGUCUAGAUUGACAAUACAUUGAAUUGGACCCAAUUGAAUCUAUAGUAGACCUGUUUAUAGAGUCAUUCACUUAUGAUGUUCAUAACAUGACUUACCUAAAUCUUGAGUAGGUGAAUGACUGUGUGUGUAUAACUUACAUACUUUCAUGUAUUAAAAACCUAUGCGUCUUAAAUUAGUAAGUUGAAAGUUGGUACAUUGGGUAUCUGACUUAUACGUGGCAUAACUUUACUUACUAUAAUGGAAUUAUAAGUUCAAUUGUGCUAACACAUAAUUCAUAUCUCACAUAACUUUAAAUCCUCAAUUCAAGUAUACAAAUUACCUUAAUUUCAUAACAAAGUAUGAAUACAUACCUGAAUUUUGUAAUUCGAUUUCACAUUCUGUCUUUACUGCACAUUUCUCGUUGAACCGUUCGGAAUUAAAAAGGAUACGAGGAUAGACAGAAGGCUCGUACAACGCCAACGUCCCAGACGUGGUCUUACAUGUAAUCAUAUAUUGAUGCCACUGUCCCAGACAGGGUCUUACACGUAAACACAAGUCGAUGCCAACGUCCCAGACGUGGUCUUACACGAAAACAUAUAUCGAAAUCCUAUAUCGUGACAUAUGUAUUCUAACUAUUCCUAGGGUUCGUACGGGGAUUUCAGACAACGUAUCUCGAUCAAAUCGAACAUGAAAUAAAACUUCCUGGCUUAUCACACCUUCGGCCAAUACACAUAUAUAUCCACAAAAUUCAAUUCAACAAAUAACAUUUAUAUAUUUGCAAAUUUAACAACAUUUAUAUGCUUAUAGACUUACCUCGGAUAUUGUCAGACAAUAUAAUCGACUAUUCGAUAACUUUCGAUUUCUCCCGAUCUAAUUCCGUUUUCUUUCGUUCUUGACCUAAAUAAAUUCAAAUUUAACUAACUUAAUCGCACAUUCAUUCCAUUUAAUCCAAAAACACAUAAUUGGGAAAAUUAUCAUUUUACCCCUAAUAUUUUACACUUUUUACAAUUUAGUCCCUAUUGCAUAAAACACAAAAUACACAAAAAUUUCACAUUACCCAUGCUUGGACAAAUAUUUACUUGUUUCAUGCAAAUCCAUAUAUUUCAUUUAUUUCACAUUUUAGUCCCUCAAAAUAUUAUUUUCAUAAUUUAAUCCAAAUUAUUUAAAUUCAUCAAAAACCCAAAGACAAAACAUGUUAAUCUAACACAUAUAUUUUAUUUUCUACCAUCAAACAACAAAAAUCACAAGCUAUCAUCCAUGGCAAAACACAAAAUCAUCAUCAAAUUCAAAAAUUAAAGCAUGGGUCUUGUAGUAUUCGAAGCAACGAUAUCAAAAACGUAAAAAUUAUCAAAAACCGAAACAAAAACAUACCUUAAUUAAGCUUAGUAAUGGCCGAAUGCUUCAAAGCUCUUUUCUUUUCUUUUUCUUUAGCAACUUUCUGCAAGAUGAACAUGAUAAUGCUUUUAAUUUAUGUUUUUUUAUUAUAAAUACAUUAUUAUAUUUUAUUUACUAAUUUAACCUUUAUAAGUUAAUUAUAAAACCAUAUAUUAUAAGUCCAAAACCGUCCACUCAAUAUUUCAAUGGUCAAAUUGCAACAUAAAACCUCCAUAUUAAAAGAACAACCACUAUUCGGCCCUUUUAAAAAUAACCACUAAAUUUUCAUUUUACGCGAUUAAGCCCUUUUAUUUAUCGGACACUUAAACGACGAAAUUAAAACACGAAAAUUUUACACAUACAAAUUCACACAUAAUAAACACAGAAAAUAAUAUUAAAAUAUUUUUUGAACUUGGAUUUGUGGUCUGAAAACCACUGUUCCGAUUAGGGUCAAAAUCGAGCUGUUACAUUUGGCCUUUAUAACUCGCUACUCGCUUUGGAAAUAGUGCCGCCAAACGAAAAUGUCUCCCGCACAACCGAGGUUAUCGGAAAAUGACGCAUUCCUUUUAGAAUAGAAUUUAUGCAUUCAGCCAGGUUUGAGGUCAUAAGACCAUAUCGUAGGUCAUCGUCGUAUGCUUGUAUCCACUGAUCGAAAGGUAUGUUACAAAAGUAGUUUGUGCCUUGAUCUUUAACUGACUGCAAAAUCGCUAACAUCUCAUGAAAACUGUCCUUAUUGAUCUCGUACCUUGUCAAUAUAAUUUGAUAGCGAAAAUUAUAUACCACUCUUCCAUUCAGAAUAAAUUGAAUAUUACAAACGAAAUUAUAUUAGUAGAGAUUCAAUACCUAUGUUGGUCACUUGUCGUCUUUCAGUGGUAGACUGAUAUUGCCCGUAGUAGUUGGACACAACAUGCCUUAGGCAAUAUGAUUGUGUGUACGAUCCCAUAAGCUUCUCUGUCACUCAAUUGUUGCUAGUUUUCCAAUACCCCAAUUCGAUAUAACGCAGAUAUCAGGUUGGCGCAGACAUGCCUCCUUAACCUAGAAAGAAAAAAAUCUCAGUCGUCACCUGACUCCUCUGGUGUUAUUGCAAAUGCAAUUGGAAGAAUUCUCUCACCGCCAUCCUGUGCCACAGCUAACAAUAGUCGAUGGGUAUAUCUACCAUACAUAAAGGUACAGUCAAUUUUUACCAAUGGCUUGGGGUACACAAAUGCGUCUUGGUAUUGCUUAAAGCUCUAGAACAGAAGCUUGAACACUUGGCAUCCACAGAGUAAGCAGUCGUUGUAGUACGCAAGGUCUGUUUCAAGUUUUGUUACGCAACCUAGGAAGUACCUCUCCAACACCUGACACCACUGCCACACCUCAUUAUAUAAAGCGUUCCACCCACUAUGCAUCUUUUCCAACGCCUUCUGCUUAGCUAUCCAAGACUUGCGGUAAGAGGGUGUGCACCUCAAUUGGCUACGAAUAUUGGAAAUUAAGCCGACACAAAAAUCUUGGGAUCCACCUUCACCUUCGAUAGCGGUGCUUUUAGCGUCACAAAAAUCUUGGCUAUCAUAUCUACUACACCAAAACAGGCUUUUAGCGGCGCUUUUUUAGGUCUUUAGCGGUGCUUUUUAGCGUCACUAAAAGUAUUUGCGGCGCUUUUAGAAGCGCCAAAAAAACACCGCUAAUGAAUGUGUCGCUAAUUUUAGUGGCGUUCUUAGAAAAAAACGCCGCUAAAGACCAGGGCCUUUAGUGGCGUUCUUAGAAAAAAACGCCGCUAAAGACCAGGGCCUUUAGUGGCGCUUUUACCACAAACGCCGCUAAAGACCAGGACCUUUAGCGACGCUUUUCCCACAAACGCCACUAAAGACCAGGACCUUUAGCGGCACUUUUUCCACAAACGCCGCUAAAGACCAGGACCUUUAGCGGCACUUUUCCGACAAACGCCGCUAAAAACAUGACUUAAAAAAAUAUUUUAAUUAAAUAAUAUAUAUUUCUAUCAUAAAUAUUAUAUUAUGUUUUAUUUUUAAAAUUUAAACUUUAAACUAAAUACUUUUAAGGAUAAAUAAUAUUAAAUUAAAAUUUCUAUUAAAAUUUUAACUUUAAAGCUAAAUAUAAAAAUUAAUGAAUUUAAAUUAAGAAAAUUAAAACAAGUUACAUUCUAUAUUAGAAUUACAUAAGAAAAUUGUUUACAUUCUAUAUUAGAAUUACAUUAGAAUUACAUAAGUUCUGUUUACAAGUUACAUUCUCUCAUGAGCAACUCUCAAAAUCAACUCUUUAAGGGAUCUUUUUUCCCUUAACUCGGUGUAACCGAGUUGCAAAAUGUGGUUUUUCCAUACUUUUCUUGCCAUCCCACAUGUAGCAGCCCAGUACUUACCAGCAGAAAUGCUUACGAUUGUUUUCUCACAAAGGGAAUAUAGCUGUACAAAUUCAUCCAAAUGAAGUAAAUAAAAGUUUCACUCCAGGGGAAGUUAAAAUCAACAAAGACAAUGGAAUAGAACCUGUUGGCAUCUAAGAUGAGGAUCUGAGGAAACCCAAUAAAAUAAUGCUCCAUCUUCAGUAUUAGCCAAGCUAUGUACCAUCCCGGCAGCUAUUGCAACCACUGAACCCAAGUACAGUCAAGGCCUCAAGGGCAUAGAUGAAGGCUACUACAGCAAGCUCAGAAUGAGAAAUUAAUUCAAGAGAGAAUCACCAUGUUCUCAGCACUAUGCGGAUUUGCUUUCUCAAGCAACAAUGAGAUGAUGAUUGGGUCAGCUUCAGUAUGAUGGUUUGAUAUAAGUACAACGUUGUGACCCUGCACCCAAUUGUCUGACAAUUAGAUCCAUAAAAAAGCCAGUUUAAACAUGAAAGAUUCAGCCAGUAUUGCAAGCUUCCUAAGUCCCAGUUGCACGUAAAAGUUUCCCGAAUGUUGAAAACUUAAUAUGACCACGUUUAGCUUAUGCCAAUACAAAAUUGAAAGGAAAACACCAUUAAACUUUCCUUCUGAAUACUAAUAUAUAACUUCAGCCUUGCUUGCAUAAAAAAAAUAUAAAUUAACAUGAUCUAAAGCUGAUGAAAAUUAAGAAAUUAAAAUAAAAUGGACACAAAUUUAACAUACAAACCUGUUAUUUUAUUUCUUCCUCAGAUGCACGUUCUUGUUAGUUAUUAAUCAAAGAAUAUGCAAGUAUUGUAGCAUGCAGAAUAAAAAAUUUCAUCAACUUACUACCAAGCAGCUCUAUGAUGGAUAAAUCAUGUUAUGAUUAACAGUAUGUUUGUUCAAAAAGUAAAUAAUGACAAUGACAUCUUAGUGAAAAAGAUGCUGGAGCAAAACUCGGUCUUGUUUAGAGGAAUCAAGUAAAAGGAAAAAGAAAACUGAGCAUAGUCACCUGCUUAAGCUUCUCCUCUAUUUCAUAGAAAAGAGAAAGAUUGCCAACAUAUGAAUUUCUGCAAAGAACAUAAUACACGGAUGUUAAGAGAAGUGAUUUUUUUAAUUUUAAAAAAAAGAGACCGAACAUGUCCUUCAGUGAUUUUAAAUAUGAAUAACAUAAAUGUUAUAUGAAGCACAUGAAAGAGGGUGAAUAAGUUAAAUAUACAAAAUACAUGCUUCUUUUUCUUUGCAUUUUUGUCAAUUCGGUUGAUGAUAAAUAAUCAAACAUGAAGAAGAGAAAAACUACUAAAGACCCUAUGAAACCCUCAAUGAAAAAAACACAAAAAAGAAUGCACAAGAUAAGAAACAUGGAAUAAGCUUAACCUUGGAUGGUCUCAAAUAGUAGCUAAUAAUUAAGAAAGAAUUACAGUCCCUAUUUCACUUCUCUCUCUCUCUAUAUAUAUAUCUAUAUCCAUGAACCUUAAAGUUUAUUACCAUGGUUUACAAAAUAGAAUUAUGAAAUUUUAAAAAUACAAAUUCCUUCAGCAAAGCACAUGCUUAAUUUUCAGGAAGCUUUUACAAAUUAAUUGAUAUCAGCAGAGAAACCAAUGAAACCAAUGAAUUCUUCCAAUGAAACCAAUAUCAAACACGUCAUAGACACUUAAAGCAGACAAUCCAAUUCUAACAGCAAUUUCUAUUCUAUCCUUCAAGCAUGUGAGUUUUAUAAAUGCCAAGUCAGGCAUAUUAUUCAUUUAUAACUAUCAUUCAAGAGUAUCAAUGUGCUUUGGCUUUGCGUUUCUUUCUUGUUUCAAUUUCCUAGUUUACAUAUGUAUGUGCCACUGGACUUGUUAAGUGAAGAAUGAGAACCAAAUUUUUGUCAAUGACUGCAGGACAUAAGACCAAGAGCAUCAAAAGUUUCCAAACAUGAAACAACUAAUCUAUAUUAAGCAAGUCAGAAAAUCAACGAGGUUAUUGUUUUAGCUAACAUAAUUUUCUUGAACAGGGAUAAAUUAAAAUUUUACCUUUAAACAGUCGCCUACUGCUGUAAAAUAAACAUCAAAACAGGUCCUAACAUGAAUAUGACAUAUACUGAAUAAAAAAUUAUGUAACCAGCUAAAGAGCAGCUGGACAUAUACUGAUUGUAUGUAUGUCCAGCUAAAGAGCAGCCAGAAAAACCCACAAGAUAUCCGCAUAUCAGAAUUAAAUAAAUAGAGGAAGCAAAGUAACUUAAGAGGUUGCAUCUCCAUUAGUUAGAAGACACACCACAACAGUUAACGUGUUAAAUAAAUUAAACCAAUUAAAUGAUUCAAUUUUAAGUAAAAGGAUUAAGGCAAAUUUCAAUGAUUCGAUAAAUUAAAUUGAACUCCAUUUGUAUAAACUACAUCAGCUGCUAUUUCAGAUUUAUUAAUGUUAACUUACCUAAAUCCCAUACUUGAAACUUGAUGUUGUUGUAUUGUACAACCUCUACAUUAAACCCAAUCGCUGCAAAAAAAUAGUUCAAAAAAAUGGUGCAUCGAAGCUGUCAGUAAAAAAAAUGAAAACCCAAAACAAGAAUGAUAAAGAAGAACAUUUCCACAAUAUGCAUGUAUAUAGGCAUACAUACAUUCUCAGUCAAUAUGCAUGGAAAAGCUUGUAAUUAAAAACCAAACAAUGUUUUAAUUGGGACAGAAGCUACAUGUAUAUAGGCACAAAUGCAAUAAAAACCUCAAAUGAAAAAAAAUGAUUAACUAAACAGUAUCAUUAAGCAUUUCCACAAUGAAUUUCAAAAGAUUUGGCUCAAGAAAAUUACCAACCUAAAUUUAUUGAAAUGCAAUGGACAAAUUACAACAGGAUUAACAUUUAUAAAGCAUCUAAACUAAGUGAUUAUCUUGAAUCAUGGUACAUCAACAAAGCACCAAAGCCCCUAGAAUACACAGCAACUUCAAGCACAUAUUAGAAACAUGUCGACUGAGCUAAAAGUGUAAAAAAAAAAUAGAUUAUGCACAAAACUGAUCUCUUGUGAUGUCUUUAUAACCAAGUGAUUAAAAAGUUGCACAUUACCCACAUCCAAGCCGAUUAAAAGUUAAAAAGGAUAAGCUCUUAAACUGUUUUCCUAUUUCCCCUGAAAAAGAGAAGAAAAGGUAAAGCAAGACUAACGAGACAAUUACCAUUUGAAUUCAAUGUGGUUAACAAUCAGCAUACCAAAGAACAAAAGAAUUUACCUUAGGAAAGUCAAUUCCACAAGAUAUGUGAACCUUUGAAGCAGGGAAGGCAACCAUAAAAGAAUCAUUUCUCGAAAAAUAAAAUGGUUCACUCAAAUAUGGUGCCAAUUUCUCAACAUUGUUGCCACACCGAUCCAAGGCCUCUUUUCUGCCAACUUGUUCUAUUGCCUCUACCCAAGCAUUUGCAGACCCAUCAAAAAUAGGAACCUGUGUUAGUUAAAAUUCCAAUCAUCACCAUCUAUAAAAUUGUAUGAAAAAAGAGACUCAGCUAAAUUAUUACAGUGUUUGUACAUUAUAUGUUACAUUAAACAGUUCUCUCUACAAAUUCAUUGACUAUGUUUAAAUCUCCUCGCUCAUCCCUCAAUCCAGAACGCAUAUCCUACAAUAUGGCCUUCAAAGGUUCUUUCCGGCAGUUAGAUUGCAGCUUCAUGCUUUUAGCUUGCUCCAAAGUUGUCUUGAAGUGAACGAACAAUUGAAUAUAUAUUUGUUCCAUGUAAAAUGUAAAAUCAUGCAUUUUAUUAUCCAACAAUACCUUACAGGAAAAGUCGCUUUUCUUGCAAAAAGGAAAGAAUGUGACAAAAGUAACAACCAAAUGAAUAACAAAACUUACAAUUUUAAGCAAAUUAAAAAUCAAUUUUGAUAUCUAAACAAAAAUUAUGGCACUAACCUCGACCUCAGUAUCCUCAGAAUCGAGACUUUGAAUCUGAAUUCUACAAUUGUCAAUGCCUUUAGCUUCCAAAGCCGAAAGCAAAUGCUCGACGGUCCGAAUCUUGUAUCCGUCUUUGCAAAGAGAGGUACACAACAGUGAUUCUCGAACAAAAUCGAUGGAUGCAGGAAUCAAAUUUGAGUGAAACUCAAAGUACCUUCCUUGGCCGGUGAAUCCCGGCCAUAUCUUUACCUUCGAAACCUUCCCCGACUGAAGUGUUUUUCUCGACAGUUCGAUGCAUCCCGCUAGGGUUUGUUGAAGCUUACCGGUCUGGGAUCACAAUAGAAGUUAACGGAAAUAGAGAUCAGGUUAGGAUGUUUUGGGAGUGAGGGAAGGUACCGUUUUCCAUGAGAUGAGAUUGGAGGACUUGAAUGAGUUAAUCGCGGCGGGGAGAUGCAUGUUCCAGAGCGGAAUGAUACGAGGUUAAACUUACAGCUACGGCAAGAUUUUCUUUUGACGGGUUUUAAAGUUAUGACUUCCCAUAUUGUUGCAAAUUCAAAAAUAAAGGGAAUCGGGGUAGGGGGAGAAAUGGUUUGGGAAAAAUAAAAGGACUGUCGAUUUGGGGAAAUUGGGGGAAACAGACUCUUGUUCGGCGACAGUUGUUUCUUCUCGUUCUUGUUCAACAACAGCUGUUUCUUCUUCUUCUGCAGACUUGAGUUUCCAAGUACCGUAAAGAGUUUUGCUGUUUUUGAAGGAUAAGGUCAAGUUAUUGGAAGAAAAGGUGGAAACUUUGGUCUGAAAAUGGAUAGAAUUUGGAUAAAAGAAGAGGUUUUUGGGAGAUUUAAAAUGGGUUUUGGAGAUUAAAUGCAAAGGAGUUGAAAAUGCUGAAAUUGUUGCCAUUUGGUCUUCAAAAUUUGUGCUUUUGGAUGAGAGAAAUAAGAAAUAUUUGGGGGGAAAUUUGGGGUUUUUUCGUUUUUGGGUUUUAGGGGAGAAAUUUGGGAAAAAAGCAGCGCCAAUUUUUUUAACUAAAAUGAAUUUUGUGGCGUUUUUUAUAAAAAACGCCACUAAAAAUAAAAUUAAAUUUUGUAAUAUUUAAAAGAAUUAGAUAAAUUUUAAAAUUUUUAUAUAAUUUUUUAUGUAAGAAAACAAAAACAAAAAAUUUUAAAAUAUGAAAAAAAAAACUUUAAAAAACUAUAUUAAUGAUAAUUUUAAUAAAUUAAAAUUCAUAUUAUCUCUUUUAUUGUCAAUCUAUUACAUUAAUUUGUUACAUUAAUUUAUUUAUUUAUCAAUUUUUUUAAAAUAUAAUAUUUAAAUAUAUCAAAUGAUUUAAACAAUUUAAUCUAAAUUUAGAUUAAAUAUUUUUAAAUAUAAAAACAUUAAUUAAUUGUAUAAAAUUUUAUCAUUUAACAAAUCUAAAGUAAACCUUAAAUCCUAAACCAUUUAAUAUGUAUAAAAUUGAUCUAUUAUCUCUUAUAUAAUUUAAACUGUAAUAAUAAUUUUAAUGUAUUAAAAUUAAUAUUAUCUCUUUUACAAUUAUAUAAGAAAUUAUUUAAUAUAUAAAUUAAAAAAUACCAAUUAAUCUAAACCCUUAAUCCCUAUCUCUUAAACCCUGAAUCAUAAAAUAUAAACCCUAAACCCCUAACCCCUCUUUUACAAUUAUAUAAAAACUUAAUUAAUAUAGGAAUUAAAAAAAUACUAAUUAAUCUAAACCUUAAACCCUAACCUGACCUCAAAUCUUUAAACCCUAAAUCACUAGCUCUUAACCCCUAACCUCUAACUCCUAACCCCUAACUACUAACCCCUAAAUCUUAUUUAAUAUAUAAAUUAAAAACACCAAUUAAUCUAGACCCUAAAUCCUAAACCCUAACCCAAAUCCCUAACCCCAUACACCUUAUUCAAUAUGAAUUAGAACACACUAAUUAAUCUAAACCCUAAACUCUAACCUGACACUGAAUUCAUAAACCUUAAAACACUAACUCUUAAUCUCUAACCCCUAACCCCUAAAUUACAACCCUUAAACCAAAGUCCCUAAUCCUUAAUCCCUAAUCCCUAAUUCCAUAAUCUAUAAACCUUAAAAUUGUAACUCCUAAACCGGCCUUAAAUCCUAAAUUAACCAUAUACCCUAAAUCAUAUACCCUAAACCAUAUAUAUUAAACCCUAAACUAUAAUGAUAAUUAAUUAAAUAUUUUAAAAUUAAUACUAUCGUAUCUUUUACAAUUUAAGUUUUAUGAUAUUUUAUUUUACUCAUAAUUUAAUAUAUUUUUCUAGUAAAGUAGUUUAAAUAAACUGUGAUUGAAAAAUAAUAAUAAAUAGCUAGGAGUUAGGAAUUAGGAAUUCUCUUCAAUAAAAACAUUUUGUAUUAAACAAUAUUAUUUGUUAUAAUUUAAAUGUAAAUUUGACCAAUAUAUAAUAAAUACAACGAAAUAUCAAUUUUUUCAACUUAUAAUAAAAAAAUAUAAUUGAAACAUUACUUGAGAAUAUAUCAAAGAAUGAGAUAAUUGAGAAUAUAUCAAAAAUGGGCAUUAGCGGCGCUUCUUCAAAAACGCCGCUAAAGGCCCCAAAAACUCAAAAAACGGCGUCGUUGGGCUUAGGCUUGUUGCGGCGCUUUUCAAAAAACGCUGUUAAUUCUUAUUUUUAGCGGCGUUUUCCAAAAAGCGCCGCUAAUGCUCGACCUUUAGCGGCGUUUUUAGAAAAGCGCCUCUAAUGCUUGAUUUUUAGUGGCGUUUUUUGUCCAAACGCCGCUAAAAACGCCGCUAAAAGCCUGUUUUGGUGUAGUGAUAUAAAUCCAUUUUGGGAUGAUCUUGUGAAACACCUGUCAACGAAGUAUGUUAAAUAAUGCAACAUUAAGUAAUAAUAGUAUUAUUCAAAAACCCUAAACACCUAGUGAUACUGUACCGACAACACAGGUAUAUGGACCUUUGUACUUCUUUAUCUCCCAUAAGCCUGUCUUUUUCCUAACCGAAGCCAUAAUUUUUCGUGAACAUGUACCGUCUUACACUGCACACUUGGCUUCGAACUUCUCGGAUUUAGAUUUAACCAUGUGGGGUUCAUAAUGCUAUGUUGUUUCAAUAGACCAAGAAAACUAUCCUUACUAGAAAACUUCUUACCAACUUCUAAUUCACCCGAAUCUAACUGACAAACUUGUACGGUCACGUAUUCUGUGUAGUAGAUCUGGAAACUCCAAUGCAUCAUCUGUCGAUAGAUCGACAUUAUGCAUGUGGGCUAGAGGUGAGUAUGCCGUGAAUCACGGAUCUUCUUAUUCUUCAUCUAAACCCCCUUCACCAUCUUCAGGUUCAGUUGGAACAGGCUCCGGUUCAGAAAAUAAUGCAACUUUUUCACCAUCGGGGCCAGACUCUCUAGGUGGAUCCACAUCGAACUCAUCAUCCAACCCACCAUCAUCUGCAACGUGCGAGGUUCCCUCGCCAGUUGACAUCGUAGGAAGUACAUCAUCCCUUCUUGUGGAUGUUUCGUAACGUCUCCAAUCAGAUGUGAAUUACCAACCACUAGAAGUUGAUGUCAUUCCCUAGUAUGUAUUUCCAGUAUUGAACAUCGACCCAUCAAUGUGCAUGUCUCAUCCACUAACUGAGUGUCAUGCAAGAGUAGUGUAUUCCAUACUGCCACCAAACACGGGUGCUUCCGUGUUCUGCCUCUCACUAACGGAAUGUCGAGCAGGGGUUGUGUAUUCCUCUCGAACAGCAGUAGAUGUUGAAGUCACAAAUGCUUCAUUUGGCGAUGAAAAUUGUACAUAUAACUCAAGAUAGGAUGAUCCACUAGCAAGAUGAGUCUGCACCAUCGCCUCCAAGCUACAACCACCUUUGAUAUCAAAUGUCAUAUGUCACGGGAUCAAUCGAAGUACAAAACCGAUACUUAAUAGACAAAACUCUCAUUGGCGUCGUUCUAAAGAUUUUACGCCUAAGUCUUUUACGAAGUUCUGUCAAAUCUAUAUUCUGGUUAAAAAUCAAUCAAGUUGUGUUCUCCAAUAAAAAAAUGUUAUUCUCGAUGUCACGGACCUCACCAUCAUAGUAAAUAACAGCAUAAUACGUUCACUCAUAUUCAAUUUAUAUUCUGCUUAGCCUCUCUAAUUUUUCUUGCUGUAACUUAUGCAACAUGAGAAUGAAAUUUGGUUCAUUUAUAGCCUAAGGCCAAGCAGGAACUACUGUAGAAAAAUAGCACCCACGUAUGACCAUUUUUCAGUAAUUUUGCUGACAGUGCAUCCUGUUUGAAGCAUUUUUGACACAAUUUUUUCAAAAACGUCUUCUGAAAAUUAUUUUUUCAGGAACUACUGUAGAAAAAGAUCACCCACGUGUGACCAUUUUUCAGUAAUUUUGCUGACAGUGCAUCCUGCUUGAAGCGUUUUUGACACUAUUUUUUCAAAAACGUCUUCUAAAAAUUAUUUUUCAAGAACUAAUGUAGAAAAAGAGCUUUCACGUGGGAACUUUUUUCAGUAAUUUUGCUGAUAGUGCAUUCUGCUUGAAGCGUUUUUGACACUAUUUUUUUAGAACCGUCUUUUCAAAAUUAUUUUUUCAGGAACUACUGUAGAAAAAGAGCGUCCACGUGGGAGCUUUUUUCAGUAAUUUUGCUGACAGUGCAUCCUGCUUGAAGCGUUUUUUACACUAUUUUUUUAGAACCGUCUUUUCGAAAUUAUUUUUUCAGGAACUACUGUAGAAAAAGAGCAUCGACAUGGGAGCUUUUUUCAAUAAUUUUGCUUAUAGUGUAUCCUGCUUGAAACAUUUUUGACACUAUUUUUCAGAACUGUCUUCUCUAAAUUAUUUUUUCAUGAACUACUUUAGAAAAAGAGCGUCCAUGUGGGAGCUUUAUUCAGUAAUUUUACUAACAGUACAUCCUGCUUGAAGCGUUUUUGACAUUAUUUUUUCCGAACCUUUUUCUCAAAAUUAAUUUUUCUGAAACUACUGUAGAAAAAAAACAAAAUUCUUCUUGUCAAUAUAAUUUUUUUCUAAACCUUAAACCUAAACCCUUUUACAAAAACCCUAAAGGCUAACACAAAAUUAUUUUUUUUAAAACAUAAACCCUAAUUUAAUUAAUUUAUUUAAAACCCCUAAAAUCUAAUUUAAUUAAUUUUUUAAAAACUAUAAACCCUAAUUUAUUUUUUUUAAAUACCUAAAUCUUAAACAAAUCAAACCCUAAAUUAUUUUAACAAAGCACUAACCCUAAAACCCUAAACCCAUAAAGCACUAAACAUGCAAAUAGCCCUAGCACUAAACAUGCACAUUUUUUGCUGACAUGGAAAAAUCGCUCCCUCAAGGACGUGUUUUGCUAGAAUUUCCCCUUAAAACGCUCUUACAUAGACGUGUUUUAAUAUUUUCGGCCUAUUCUAGUAAUAAUAAAAAAGGUGGCCCAUUUAAAAUGGUCUGGGGAAAGUGAUCAUUUGGUACUCUUUAAGCUAUUUUUAAUAUUUUUGAAAAUUAUUGAAUUUCAUAAUUAAUUAUAGAGAUUUUUUUAAUGGUUGAUAUAGUUCCAAUAUUUUAUGCCAAACUUUUGUUAUUUUGAUAAAACAUUUUAUGUUGAGAAAUUAGAAAAAAAUUUUAAGGACAUCGAAAAUAAAUUGUAAUUUUUAUAAUUUUAAUAACCUAUAUCUUUAUAAUUUUAAAAAAUUAAAUUAAAUUUUUUAUCAUUUUUAACAGGGAUUAAAGUACAAUUUUAUCUUUACUAAUUUAAAAUUUUAAAAUUUUUAAAACUAAAAGAAAAGUUUUCCACAAAUAUACAUAGAAUUUUAAAGAUUAAAUAAAAACAAGCUAAUUAGAUUAUUCAAGAACCUUGAACGUAAUUUAAGAUUUUUAUUUCGAAAUGUGAGCAAAUAUAUAGAUUUUAAUACCCCAGCUCAUGGAAUCCAAACUCGUAGCAAAAAUAAAAUCAGAAGAGACAUUAAUCAGAUUAGAUAUUUGUGGGAGUGCCAAGAAUCUGAAAUAACAGACUUUGAGUGCUAAAAAAGACUCAAUAAUUAAUUAUUAAUUAAUUAAGUGAUGUCCAAUUUGUACAAAGUUACAUAUAAAUGACCAUAUUCAUCUCUUAUCUAAAUAACAUAUCAGCAGCUUAUAUAAUCUAUCAUCACUAUCUGUGAGAUACAUGGUCUAUAGCUAAUUUCGUUUUUUCUCCUUGGGCAGCUCUUUGUAUUUACUAUAAUUAAUUAACAGUGAGGCAAGUCAGCUCCUCAUGCUCCAUGUCCAUCCCUGUACUUAAUAAUACAAAUAAUCCUGUAAUCGAAUUGCUCCAUGGUCGGGUCGGGAUAGAGUUUCGAGCAAAGUAACCCCUAGCUUCAGGAAUGAACUGAAAACAUAGUUCAAGGUGUGAUUCAUGAGGUGUUGGUUGUGCCAGAAGAGCUGUCAUCAAGAAUAAUAUCAGCAGGAUCUCCUAUCCAUGGUCUCCCUUCUCUCCACUGAAACUUUAUCCUUAGUUUUCCAUUUGCAUCAACCCCAACCACCUGCCC
rnacentral:lncRNA from 1 species